rnacentral:rRNA from 1 species
UGCGUAGGGUGCGAGCGUUAAUCGGAAUUACUGGGCGUAAAGCGUGCGCAGGCGGUUUUGUAAGUCAGAUGUGAAAUCCCCGGGCUUAACCUGGGAACUGCGUUUGAAACUACAAGGCUAGAGUGUGGCAGAGGGGGGUGGAAUUCCACGUGUAGCAGUGAAAUGCGUAGAGAUGUGGAGGAACACCGAUGGCGAAGGCAGCCCCCUGGGUUAACACUGACGCUCAGGCACGAAAGCGUGGGGAGCAAACAGG